rnacentral:rRNA from 1 species
UACGAAGGGUGCAAACGUUGCUCGGAAUCAUUGGGCGUAAAGCGCACGUAGGCGGCCUUGUAAGUCGGAUGUGAAAUCCCACGGCUUAACCGUGGAAGUGCAUCCGAAACUGCGAGGCUCGAGUAUGGAAGAGGGUCGCAGAAUUCCCGGUGUAGAGGUGAAAUUCGUAGAUAUCGGGAGGAAUACCAGUGGCGAAGGCGGCGACCUGGGCCAAUACUGACGCUGAGGUGCGAAAGCGUGGGAAGCAA